AACACUUUUAGACUUUUACUCAAGUAGUAUUUUACUGGCUGAUUUUCACUUUUACUUGAGUCCCACUGAUUAGUAUUUGUAUAUAUGUGUCCUUUGGUGCGUUGAUAAGUGUUGCAAUGUUCGUUGGUGCGUGUGAGUACCUGUGCUGUGUGUUUUGGGCUUUCGUGCCCUUGUGGAUUGAUCAGAUGAUUACGGGUUUCGUCCCGUGUGUUAAUCAUUGUGCGCGUGUGAAUUUAUUCCAGGUACUCCUCGCUCUUUUGUUUGGGUUUCUACCUUGUGUGUUGUGUACGUGUGUGUUUGGUCUUUGUCCCCGUACCUUUACACGGCACACUGUAAUUAGGGGUAUAAUUUUUUUAAAUGAUUCCGCAUUGCUGCGCCUGUCUCCCGAAUCAUUGUUACCAAUGUGACAAGCACUCAGUCACAGCAGCCAUCUUCUUCCUUCCUGAGCUCUUCGAUGUAGAUUCCAGACGUCUCUACAUUAUGGACAAGAUUUCAUCCUCCCUACACCGCUGAUGAAUAUAACUGCAAACCUGUUCGAUCACCAUUCACUGCAAAAUCAUUCUUGCUAUGGAUACGAAGGAUAUCAACAUAUUAACACGCCAGAGAAAAUAUUGACUGAACUUGGAGCUCUGCUGGGAGUUGACCUAAUAUUUAUAUUUUUGAAUUCUGCUUUGCCACUAAAAUCAUAAUAAACAUUGACUACUAAACUAUUGUGUUAUUGUUAUGCUGAUUCAUAAUAUAAAUAAUGAGGGGAAACCCCAAAAGGUUAUUCAAGGAACCAUUAAAGUUUUUUUUUUAAGAACUUAGAGGUUCCCCCAGUUUCAAUUUGAAGAACCCCUAAAAGAUCUUCCAGGAACCAUUUCUUUUUAGAGUAUAAUACUUCUGACAGCCAACUUUAUAACUCCGCCCAUAGCUUCUGGACUUUAUAGCAUUCCCAGAAGGCAUGGAUUAUUGAGUCGUUGUUAGUUUUACACUUACGACAUGCCUCUGCCGUUGUGCUGUAGAAUUUGUGAAUUUUGUCUUGUAUUAUAUAUUCUGUACAUUUGUUUAUACUGGA
ensembl:lncRNA